UUGAGCGGUGUACCGGGAAACCGGUAUGCACCGUUCUUAGGGGAGGGCAGUCCAGCAAUGAACUGUCCUUAUCCGAC
rnacentral:ncRNA from 1 species